ACAAAAGCUCCUUUUGUAUCAGCUAUGUAGCGAUAGAGCUCACCAUUACGUGCUCGAUUUGUUUGGGCUGUUAUCCAUCGAAAUUGUCCAUCCAAAUUGUACUUCUUCAUAAGGUCAUGCAUCUUUUCAAUUUCAGCAAUUUCUUCUCUGUCUCUGGACUUCUUCACAUCAAUAUAACCAGCAAUCACAACAAGGUUCACCAACUCCCUCAGCUUCGUAUUCUUACCAUAUAUCUCUACCAGCCCAGUAAUGUUCUUCACCCUGUCCAGCCUUGCCAUGGAAAAAAUCAAGGGCUUUGACUUGUCGCUCAGUUUACCUAUCCACUCGUCCGUUGGCUCAGGAUCAUACAACAUCUUUUC
rnacentral:misc_RNA from 1 species